CGGGGCCCCCGCUGAUGGC
rnacentral:miRNA from 1 species